rnacentral:tRNA from 1 species
UAGUAAAAAGCAAAAUUUGCAUUUAAUUUCGACUUAAAAGUUUGAUAUUUAUUUAUCUUUACUUU